GAUGAACGCUAGCUACAGGCUUAACACAUGCAAGUCGGGGGGCAGCACAGAGAUAGCUUGCUAUCUUGGGUGGCGACCGGCGCACGGGUGAGUAACGCGUAUCCAACCUGCCCAUUACUCUGGGAUAGCCUUGCGAAAGUAAGAUUAAUACCGGAUGUUGUUAAAAACCCGCAUGAGUUUUUAACCAAAGAUUUAUUGGUAAUGGAUGGGAAUGCGUGACAUUAGGUAGUUGGUGAGGUAACGGCUCACCAAGCCUACGAUGUCUAGGGGUUCUGAGAGGAAGGUCCCCCACACUGGAACUGAGACACGGUCCAGACUCCUACGGGAGGCAGCAGUGAGGAAUAUUGGUCAAUGGACGAGAGUCUGAACCAGCCAAGUAGCGUGCAGGAUGACGGCCCUCUGGGUUGUAAACUGCUUUUAGUUGGGAAUAAAAAGAGGGACGUGUCCCUAAUUGUAUGUACCAUCAGAAAAAGGACCGGCUAAUUCCGUGCCAGCAGCCGCGGUAAGAC
rnacentral:rRNA from 1 species